CCGCCAAAACGAACAAAUUCCACAGGGAUUACUUGAUUACAGACAUUCUACUGAUACAGGUGUGCUGGGAGCACCCCUUUCUUGAUCAUCCUCUCUCUCACGUCGUAGAUCCUAAUCGGCUCCACAAGAUCAUCCUCGGCGACAUUGGCAACCCCAUAAUCCGUGAUCAUUCUCCGCUGCACUGCCUCCUCGAUCACGGCUGGAGUCCACUCGUCCACUUUGGCAGCAGCCUCAAGGAAGCCAUCUUCGACGACGUAGAGCGCUUGGAGGAUUCGCUUCUGCCCGUUCCAAUCCACAGGUGUAAACGCCUGAAUCAGACCAUACUCAUCCGGUCCCGUGACGCGAGUCGUCUCCUUCGUAUCCAUCCCU
rnacentral:lncRNA from 1 species